rnacentral:rRNA from 1 species
ACGGCGCACGGGUGCGUAACGCGUUAGCAUCUACCUUUUACUGGGGCAUAGCCCGGAGAAAUUCGGAUUAAUACCUCAUGGUUUAGUGAAACGGCAUCGUUUUAUUAAUAAAGAUUUAUCGGUAAGAGAUGAGCAUGCGUACGAUUAGUUAGUUGGUAGGGUAACGGCUACCAAGACGAUGAUCGUUAGGGGGUCUGAGAGGAUGAUCCCCCACACUGGUACUGAGAUACGGACCAGACUCCUACGGGAGGCAGCAGUAGGGAAUAUUGGUCAAUGGGCGAGAGCCUGAACCAGCCAUGCCGCGUGCAGGAAGAAGGCCCUCUGGGUUGUAAACUGCUUUUGACAGGGAGCAAAGAGUCCAUGCGUGGAUAAUGAGUGUACCUGUAGAAUAAGCACCGGCUAACUCCGUGCCAGCAGCCGCGGUAAUACGGAGGGUGCAAGCGUUAUCCGGAUUUAUUGGGGUUUAAAGGGGUCCGUAGGCGGAUCUGUAAGUCAGUGGGUGGAAAUCUUCACAGGUUUAACUGUGGAAACUGCCAUUGGAUACUGCAGGUCUUGAGUGUUGGUUGAAGUAGCUGGAAAUAAGUAGGUGUAGCGGUGAAA